AUUGAACGCUGGCGGCAUGCCUUACACAUGCAAGUCGAACGGCAGCGGGGACUUCGGUCCGCCGGCGAGUGUCGAACGGUGAGUAAUGUAUCGGAACGUACCUUCAGUGGGGGAUAACGUAGCGAAAGUUACGCUAAUACCGCAUAUUCUGUGAGCAGGAAAGCAGGGGAUCGCAAGACCUUGCGCUGAUUGAGCGGCCGAUAUCAGAUUAGCUAGUUGGUGAGGUAAAGGCUCACCAAGGCGACGAUCUGUAGCGGGGUCUGAGAGGAUGGCCAGCCACACUGGAACUGAGACACGGUCCAGACUCCUACGGGAGGCAGCAGUGGGGAAUCUUGCGCAAUGGGCGAAAGCCUGACGCAGCGACGCCGCGUGGGCGAAGAAGGCCUUCGGGUUGUAAAGCCCUGUGGGGGAGAACGAACUGUGCGGGGGCUAAUACCCUCCGUGCUUGACGGUACUCCUUUAGCAAGCAUCGGCUAACUCUGUG
rnacentral:rRNA from 1 species